rnacentral:rRNA from 1 species
CCUACGGGAGGCAGCAGUAGGGAAUCUUGGACAAUGGGGGAAACCCUGAUCCAGCCAUGCCGCGUGAGUGAAGAAGGCCUUAGGGUCGUAAAGCUCUUUCGCCUGUGAUGAUAAUGACAGUAGCAGGUAAAGAAACCCCGGCUAACUCCGUGCCAGCAGCCGCGGUAAUACGGAGGGGGUUAGCGUUGUUCGGAAUUACUGGGCGUAAAGCGCGCGUAGGCGGAUUGGAAAGUUGGGGGUGAAAUCCCGGGGCUCAACCCCGGAACUGCCUCCAAAACUGCCAGUCUAGAGUUCGAGAGAGGUGAGUGGAACUCCAAGUGUAGAGGUGAAAUUCGUAGAUAUUUGGAAGAACACCAGUGGCGAAGGCGGCUCACUGGCUCGAUACUGACGCUGAGGUGCGAAAGUGUGGGGAGCAAACAGGAUUAGAUACCCUGGUAG